CUACCCUCUCCUGUUUUGUUGGAGGUCUGGGGAGAGAAGUGUAUGUGUGUACAUAAAACUACAUGCUUCAAAAAAAAUUGAGGUGUUUUUUAAAAGAUAGGAGUAGCUUUUCAUUCACAAUUGCACGCGUGACGUUGAUGUAUUGGAACAGGAUAUUCAAGAUCCUAAACAGAAUCCUACUUAGUGCUCUGCAUCUUUUGUCUCUGCAUUUCCUCUCUUCAACUCAGUUGUUGGUUCGGGAGUUACAUUUCCUGGUACAACCUUUUAAAGCACAUGUAUUUUAUUUGCAUGUAAAUUGGCAGAGGGAGGCAUCUUCCAUGUAAAUGCUGUGCUAAUCAUUACAGGUUCCAUGGUUCAUCAGGGCUUGGGUUCCUAAUUGGCUGCAGGAUUCCCAAAAGUGUCAAUAGUCUGAUUCAGAGCAAUAGGAAUUAUUGAAUCUACAUAAUAAAAGGAGUGUGAUGAAAGCCUGCAGCAGAUGUGAGGCUCAAUGUGUCAGCUCAACCUCAGGGGCAAGAAAAAGAGAAGUUGAAACUGGUUUCUUCCAUCUGAGAUGGCCACAGGCGAAGAGCAAACACACUUGGUCAAUUACCGUGGCUCAGAUGAUGCAUGGUAUUGCCAUUUUCAGGUCAAAUUUUAGAGUUAGUAGGAACUUUUCCAUGGGCUUUGUACAACAAUAUUCCACUGCGCACAGUGAGAAGUUUGAACACCCUUCGUUUCAGCGUCUAAUUUUGAGAUGAACUUGUAUCUUUCUUAAAAAAACAAAACAACAAGACCACCAAUAGCAAAAGAAAACCACCGGCCCCAAACUUUCACCUUUCUUCUCAGGUAAGACCUGUUUUCUUACUCCACUCUGUGGGAAAACUAAGAAUACGUUAGCUUAUUUCCAACUGUGAUUUGCUAAACUGAAGCUAAAGAUGGAAGAAUUCCAAACCUAGCAGUCUGGACCCUCUCAAACUAUGACUGGGGCCAGGGAAACAAGGUACCAGACAUCAAAACUUUGGAUGCUUUUUUUCUUUUCAUGUAGUAACUGAAACUCGAGUUCAUCUUUCUCUGCUUCCACGUAAUACAAGGAAAGACAUUUGAUUAGAUUAUGUGAGAUACUUUUUAAGGCAGAUGGAUUCAACACAUGGCUGCAGGACCAGGCUUUAUUAUCUCGACUAACGUGGACACAUUUUGAACACUGCUUCUCACUCUGCCAUCAGCCGCCACCACCUCUGCAGUACUGUGACAGCAAGAGAAAAAGGACAGGGAAGUGAUAAAGUUUGCACACGUAAGCAGAAAAGAACUUUCUGUCCAAAGCCAGCUGGCUUGGCUUGGCACUGAAGUGGCAUUUUAGCACAAGAUGACACGUUUAUGCGUGUACUGGAGCUAUGUUUCAAAACACUUGCCCUAGAUGCCACAGGAAGGGUCUGUGAAAUAGUUUAUCACCAAGUAACCAUAGAGAGCAGGUGAGCUGUCUGAAUACCAGUUUGUCUUCUGAGCUGGCAGACAAAUGAAACCACAGGAAGGAAUCAAAGCAAUGCUGCUGCUUUUAAUAAUUAGAAUUGAGCGUAUUUUCAGGGAAGUUUUGGGAAAGCAUGCGAUAAUCCUAUAUCACAGCCAAGAGGACAAUACGUCCAUUAAUAAAUGCCUGAUACCGUUUGCUCUGAUACAAAACUCAGAAAUGCACACCAGCCAAUCCAUGUUAACACAGGUCAUUUCUUUAAGUCUUGUUUUCCAAAUUAGAGCAAACCCCCCAGCAUAAGAUGAAUGGGCAUCUUUGCCUUUACCUGAUAAAGUGCCUGAACGAUUAGGGAGGCUGAUGGCUUCUACAGAUCCUGUGGGACACAGAUCAGUCAUCCCACGUGUAACCCCAAAGAAAUAACUGAAAAUAAAUCACAGCAACAUUUGUACUUUGGAGUCUGGAUACCAUCAUAAAAUGCCAAAAAUGCACCUUGUAUACUGCCCAAGUUUAAAGAUUAAACUUUAUUUCAGAAGUUAACUGCUAUAAAAGUUUCUUUGCUAUAUGUUGCACAUUAUAACAGAUCACGCAGACCUUCUGUGGGCUCUGUGUGUGAAGUUUACAAGACCAGGACAGUAGCAUAUGUCUCGUGUGCAAUUUGAUCAAUAGAGUUACAGCAAAACAGAUCAAGUCUAGGAAAAAUAAUGCUUAGAUUUACAUGUUAAGAGCAGCACUUGCUGUCUGCAGUGGGAGCCAAGGAUGCUCUGAGCAAGACACAAUUACCUGCCUUUCAAGAGUUCCACAAGUCAUUUGUCACGAGGUCCCACCAACUUCACAUCUACUUUAAAAAGCAGUUUGAAGACUUUUUAGGUAUUAUGGUCUCCUAUAUCUAUUUCUGUCUCUUUUGUUUCCUAACAGCAUGAGAUACUGACCACACAUACUGCAGUCAAAUAUAGAAAUUAAACCUACAGGAAAAAGGAUGUCUUCUCUUUAAUCUCUUGGAGAAUUUUCCAGACUAAAGCAUAGUUCUUAAAUUGAUAAUAUCCCUUUAAGAAUUUAUUUGCCAGGUAAUGUUAGAAGAAAAAAGAGAUUAGGGCUAGUUUGAACAUUAGAAAGGCCCUUUUUAAAAUCAAUUUCAAGUCUGUAUUAGAGAUGAGCGUUGUCUGAACAUGCUUCCAACAGAUAAAAUAUAUUCUGCACCUUAGGAACGCAAAUAACUUGAAAAUCCUUGAGACUCCCAGCUCUUUGCAAAAAGGUCAAACUCUAUCCUAAGAAAUAUUUCAUUGCAUAGAAAUAAUGGUUUAGUGUUGCCGUAUAUGAAAGUCAGAAUCUGUAAGGCUACGAAGUUAAUAACAGAUCAAGGGCUGAAGUUUUUGAAUAAUGUAGUAAAUAUUUCUUAAAUGAGUGAAAUGAUACGAUACCACGGGAAGAGAGAAAUGCGUUUUAAUAAAGAAAAUAUUGAAUGUAAGAAUAUUUCUUUAGAUCUACCAUGCAAUCUGUGUGUUCUCUAUGAGAUGUCAAACUACACGGUGCAUAUGUACACUGCGCUCUCUAUAAAUAUACAUGUGCAUGACAUAUUUCUGAAGGCAGUAAAUGAAUGCUGGGGAAAUACGGCAACAAUGAAGUUCCUAAGAGAAGGUUAGUUUUUCAAGUUAUUAAAAGAAGGUGGCAAGCAUUCAUGAGGAUAUGAAAAUUUAAAGCUGUCUGCAGGAAACUCUGAAAACCUCUGGUUAAGGCUGCUGCCAAAAAAUCUCAGCUAUGUUAUGUCAGAAUAUUUAAUUGCAAGCUGCAAUUUUAAUGAAUGGAAAGAUAUGGCAAAAGGAGGAAGUUUUCUGCAGCAACACAGAACAGCCAUGAAAAUAAAAUGCCAAAGGUUGUAAUCUUGGACGCUGUAGGAAUCAGGAAUUUCCAUCCACGUUCUGACUCCUUUUCCUACUGUGAGAGUUUGCCAGCUGCCUGGCUGAAGGGAGGUAAGCUGUUCUGGAUAUCAUCUCCUGGGCUCAAGGCAGCACUUGUUAUGUCUAUGUGAAGAAGUCAACUUCUGUGCAUUUGUUGUUACGGAUGUUUACCGAAAUGCAGCUUAGGAAUAGGAGAGGAAAAGCAAAUGUCAGAGUGCAUUAAAUAACGUAUUUUCUUUACUUUCCAAGAAGCUUGCUAGCAGCAUGAUGUUACUAUUUAUAACAGAUCUCUUAAACCCAGCUGUUGGUUCAUGUUAACAUGGAGAAUGGUGAGAAAACCCCAGCAGAAGAGUGUGAAUCCCAGAGAGACUUGUCUUCUGUCAUUGUGAAGACCUAGAAAAUAUCCCAAGUUUUGCUGAGGUAUGGAUCAGUCAUGCAGCACACGAGGCGUGCCAUGCAAAUAUUUCCUGUGGUGAUCUCUGGCAUUAGAAGGCCAGCAGCAACACAAAACAAGAAGUACCAAAUGCUGCAAGAAGCAGCUUCAGAUGGCAUAGCCUGAGCCUGUGGCUGGAAAAGUCUGAAAGAGAGAAAGAGAACUUCUACCUGUAACUCAAAACUAGCAGAUAUACUGUACACCCACAUUACAGCAUUCUUAGACAAGCUGCAUCUGAUCUAAUCUUAUGUACCUUGGCCACAGGUUCUGGAAAAACAAAUAUUCCCAAGGCAAUCGGAUUACUGAAUGUACCAUAUAACGAUGUGGAAAUAUUAGUGGUUUACAGAAGGCAGUUUAUGAAGUGGAUUGAGUGAAUUUAAUUCAUGCACUGUCAGGCAAUUUGGACUUAGAUAUAAUCAUGUUAAGAUUUCCUUAUUUUAGCUGUCUUUGGUGGAGCACCAGAGCCAAAUAGUAGCGUAUGAGCAAUACUCCCAACUACAGACAGACAGGUCAUGGGCAUUUGAUCCAAGCCAGCUUUGAGCAAGUGCAAAUCUGUGUCUGCACUGGGGUGGGGUGGGGGGGGGGUUAAUAGGGUUAUCCCAAGUAUUAGUGAAAAGGAACCAUUAUCUCCUCCUCUCUGGCUUCCUGAUCCGUAGGUAGGAGUCUCCCCUUCUCUUAUCCUUUGUUUCUCAUGAAAGUUCCCAUCCUGAAAUGCUACGAGUACAGUUUGGUUUUGUUGCAAUAAGUGGUCCUGUAAAAAAAAAACUUCAUUCACAGAGUACUUCCACCACUGUAAGUGAAACAACGUUAGGAAUUAAUCUAGCCUGUGAUUUUUAAGAAACCGUGUUCUGAAAAGCUUGUUCUCAGACCCUUCUUCCCUGUGAAGGAUAACUUAAUUGUUUGACAAAUAAGCUAAAGCUACAUAACAUUCCCCACUCAUCCAGUUUUAAAAAAUCCUGCAUUGUUUUUUAAUGCAAAGUUCACCUUUAGAAGCAUGAGAUCUAAUAUUCUUUUUCUCUAGAAUAAAGACAAAAAAAGCUCUUUUCUGGAAUAUAAGAAAUAUUUGAAAAGGAAGAGUGGGGAGCAGCCACGGUACUUCACUCUGGAGUGCUUUGUGAGAAGGUCUGAGGAUGUAAGUUAAAAGAGCAGAUACGAUUUUGGUGCUGCUGUCUCUAAAACGCUUUGAGUGGGUGGGUGGAAAUGCACUGGAAUAGAAAUGCACAGAAAAGCCUUAUUGCUGGAUGGUAACUAAAGAGCCUCGCAGUUGAACAGUCAAGAUUACGACUACUGUUGUCUUUUUGAAAUCAUUUUUUCCUUAUUGUUUUCUUUAUUUUCUGUUUUCUGGGUUUCCUUUUCCUUGUAGGAUAUCAUGGAAAUUACACUGGCAUGUUGUUUGGCCAGGGAAAGAGAUUUCAGAUGGGGUUCUUCAGUAGUUGCUUUUUUACUUCUUAGGAAUGAUCCUGGCAGAUCCUUGUGAUAAUUUCUCUAUUGUCAUAUUGGCACACAAGCAUGAUAUUCUCUGGGGCUUUUUUAUGUUGCUGCUUCUUUGGCCAGAAAUUAAUUGGUCUUAUAAAGAUGAUCUUUUUUUUUUCCCUUCUUCUUUCUUUCUUUAUUUUCCCUGUAGCGUGGAUUUGCUUUAGUCACUGACAGCUUUGCAUCCUUUGGAUUAUCCAGGUGUAUUUUGCCUUUGCAGUUGCCCUGGAAAUGAAACCUAACCCAGAACAGGGCCAUCACACCACACAGUGAUUUCAGUCAUUUUAAUAUAGAAAUCCUUCCGUGGUUUUAUUUGUGCCCACCCUGAGGAGUGAUGUUUUUCAUUUGUGCUGUUCUGACAUGUGAGAACAUCUGUGACCUACCUCCCACCUAUUCUUUUUCACUCGCUGUCCCAAAGGGGGUUGCAGAAGCAGAAGUAGCAGCAAACCAUUGGGUAUGGAAAACAACAUCAGUAAUUUCAAUUGGAUGCCACAUCUUGCACUUCCUUUUCUCAAUUGUUACAUAGGCAGCAUUUCAAUUGAGAGACGAAUAUGUUUUAGUGCUCUACUCUCCUUAACUAUUGCUUGCAAGGGACGUAUACAAAUCCCUUGAGCAACACAUGCUAUGCUUAUUUUUCUAGUGCCACUGAAACAGAGCAAUUAUUUAUCUCUUUGGCUUCCUGCUUUAUUUUUGCCAGCUUAGAAUAAUAUGAUUACAUAGUGAAAAUAAUCAAUGAGCAUAACCAGAAGUCCUUGCUCAGGGCUUGGUUAUUCAGGCUCCUACUGACUUUAGAACUUAAAGAAUUCGGGAUUUUAUCCAACGUCUUCUCAGCCUGUUAUGCUCAAGAGCUGAUUUCAUAGUAUUAAUUUUUAUAAGGGCUAUGGAUGAUAGAGUGAGGAACAAGAGCAUAAGCUACAUGCAUAUAAAAAUCAAUGCUCUUCGGACUGUUGGUGUUCAGAAAUGUAAGAAAGUGGUAUGUAUUUUCAUCUCUUAUUUAUUGCAGGUCAAUAGUAAUCAGCUUGGAAAUAUGACAGUGGGUGGCAGUGAUCUGUGUUUUGUGAUUACUUUCUCUCCCACACCUCCUGCUCGUUAUUUCCUAGAUCCAUGGAAGAACCUGCGUGCUGCUCUGAAGGAAAGGUGGAUGCCCUCACAUUAGGAGAUGGAUAAAUACUUUCCAAAUGAACUGUAUGGUACAGAUUUUGAUCUUCACAGCUGUGCGUUACUGCUUCCAGUUGAGCCCAAUAAUUGCAAACAGACAACAGAAAUUUGCGUUCAUUUUUCAGAACACAUUGGAGGCUCAACGUGUUCCCAUCCAGCGGUGCGCUGAGCACGACUGGAGGUGGUGGUGUGUCACUUUCUGACCAUUUUGGGACCUGACUGUUUGUAGCCCAUCGGUGAGUCUCUGUUUUCCAGUGGCUGCAGCUCUAAUUCUCACGUCCCAGAGCAGAGCUGGGUGCUGCUGCCCCACAGAUACCGCUGCGGUGCUCAGCUCUGCGUUCUGCACUCUUUGCCACAUGCUGCCGGACAAGAGGCAGAGCACAACUAACUUCUUUGGCAAGUAACUUUUUAGUGGGAGAAUUUUAUUCUGGGGUGCUCAGCUGCUGCCUUCUGUUGUGGGGGAGAGAUGCCAGUUUUGUAGUGGCUUUGGUUAGCAGUUGCUCUUUACUCUUUAAAGCAAAAUUAAUGGCAAAUAUGCCACGCUGCGCAGGGCGAAGGUGAGAACGUUGGGCCUUCGUGGGUUCCUCAGCCGAAGCUGUCCUUGAGGCAGCUCUGCGGGCCGCAGCCCCUCUUCCUGGGGCUGGACGGGGGCCUACAGGCCGUGACGAGGCGG
ensembl:lncRNA